rnacentral:rRNA from 1 species
UACGUAGGGGGCAAGCGUUAUCCGGAUUUACUGGGUGUAAAGGGAGCGUAGACGGCAAGACAAGCCCGGAGUGAAAGGCGGGGGCCCAACCCCCGGACUGCUCUGGGAACUGUCUGGCUGGAGUGCAGGAGGGGUAAGUGGAAUUCCUAGUGUAGCGGUGAAAUGCGUAGAUAUUAGGAGGAACACCGGUGGCGAAGGCGGCUUACUGGACUGUAACUGACGUUGAGGCUCGAAAGCGUGGGGAGCAAAUAGG